rnacentral:rRNA from 1 species
UACGUAGGGCGCAAGCGUUGUCCGGAAUUAUUGGGCGUAAAGAGCUCGUAGGCGGUUUGUCGCGUCUGCUGUGAAAACCUGAGGCUCAACCUCGGGCUUGCAGUGGGUACGGGCAGACUAGAGUGCGGUAGGGGAGACUGGAAUUCCGUGGUGUAGCGGUGGAAUGCGCAGAUAUCAGGAGGAACACCGAUGGCGAAGGCAGGUCUCUGGGCCGCAACUGACGCUGGAGGAGCGAAAGCAUGGGGAGCGAACAGG